rnacentral:snoRNA from 1 species
UUAUCCUUACUUGAACAUGAUUUGUUCUAUAGGCUCGUACCACUGUUUCCUUGAGUUCUAAGGAGAUAGAAAACCAAGUCUGGUUGAUGAGGCAUAGCUAUUGGACCAGAGC